rnacentral:misc_RNA from 1 species
CUCUACUUCCACACCUUCCCCCUCCGGCCCUCCACUCCGCAUCCCGCCCCAGUGUCCCCUCCCCCUCCCUCCACCCCCGCACCCGCGAUGCCGCCGGACAGAGAAGACGCCGCGGGCGCGGGCGCGGACGUCGCGGCCGACGAGCUGCAGAGCGUGAGCUUCGGCUCGUCCUCGGACCGCUCGCGCUCGCGCUCGGCCUCCACGGCGUCCACGGCCACGGCGUCCUGCUCCACGUCCUCGUCGGGGCCGCUACACCAGCACCUCUCGCUCCCGGCCCCGCGCCGCAACCCCUCCCCCUCCCCCGCGCCAACCCCAACCCUGCCCACGCAGAUCCCGCGCCUCGGCGCCGUCUCGCUCUCCGACAUCCGCUUCCUGCGCCGGCUCGGCGCCGGCGACAUCGGCAGCGUGUACCUGGCCGAGGUCCGCCGCCCCACCCCCACCGCCGGGGCCGCCGGCAAGGAGAAGCACACCUCGACUUUGGCGGCGGCGGCGGUGGUGGUGGCCGCCAAGGUGAUGGACCGCAAGGAGCUGGAGGGGCGAAACAAGGAGGGCCGCGCGCGCACGGAGCGCGAGAUCCUCGAGGCCGUCGACCACCCAUUCCUGCCCCGCCUCUACGGCGUCGCCGAGGGCGACCGAUGGUCCUGCCUCCUCACCGAGUUCUGCCCCGGCGGGGACCUCCACGUGCUCCGCCAGCGCCAGCCGCACCGCCGCUUCUCCGAGGCCGCCGUCAGGUUCUACGCGGCGGAGGUGGUGGCGGCGCUGGAGUACAUCCACAUGAUGGACAUCGUGUACCGCGACCUGAAGCCGGAGAACGUGCUGGUCCGCGGGGACGGCCACAUCAUGCUGACCGACUUCGACCUGUCGCUCAAGUGCGACCCGACGGCGCCGACGCCGGCGCACGUCAUCUCCGACCCGCUGUCGCUGGCGGGGCGGUCGGGCGGCGCCGCGUCGUCCACGUCCUCCUGCGCCAUCUCCUCCUCCUGCAUCGUGCCGGCCGCCUCCUGCUUCCAGCUCUUCCCGGGCCGCGGGCGCGGGCGCCGGCGCCGCCGGCCCCGCUGGCUGCGCGCGGGCAAGAAACCGUCCCCGAACAACAACGGCGGGCUGGAGCUGGAGCUCGUGGCGGAGCCGGUGGAGCUGCGGUCCACGUCGUUCGUGGGCACGCACGAGUACCUGGCUCCCGAGAUCGUGGCCGGGGAAGGGCACGGCAGCGCCGUGGACUGGUGGACGCUGGGGGUCUUCGUCUUCGAGCUGCUGUACGGGGCUACGCCCUUCAAGGGCCACGACAACGAGAUGACGCUGGCCAACAUCGUGGCCCGCGCGCUCGAGUUCCCCCGGGACCGCGACCCGCCCGCGUCGCCCGCCGCCCGCGACCUCGUCACCGCGCUCCUCGCCAAGGACCCCGCCCGCCGCCUCGGCGCCACCGUCGGCGCCGCCGCCAUCAAGCGCCACCCCUUCUUCGCCGGCGUCAACUGGGCCCUGCUCCGCUGCGCCCCGCCGCCUUACGUGCCGCCGCCGUUCAGCAUCGCCAAGGCGGCGGCUGCUGCUGGUGGAGGCGGCGGGAAAGACGACGACGACGACGACGUGUCGGACGACAGUUGUCCCGGCACGCCCGUGGAGUACUACUAGAAGAAGAAUAAGAAGAAGAAGCCAAGGAGGAGAAGCGUCCGUGUCCGGCCGCCGUCGUACGUACGUACGUGCGCGCGCGCGCAAGGAGCCACGCCACGCCACGGCCCUGCCAGUCGGUCGGUUCGGUAGGCUCGCCGGGGCGGGCCCCUGCCAGGCACCACCUCCGCUUGUCCGAGUCCGGCGGGGCAGGCGCGUGCACGUGGUGGGGGACGGACGGACGGGCCACGGCGCGUGGCGCGCAGGAGGCAGGGCCGCGCUGUCGCCUCGAGUGGCUGCCGGUUCACGGUCGGUCUUUACCAAUAAUAAUAGCUUACUGCCGUCCCUGGCUGCAGCACGCAUGUCAUAACCUGGCGGCCGCCGUGCCAUUGGCUCCGGCUCCUGUCCUGCCUUGGUCAGUA